AUGAUGAACCUCACCUUUUGUAAAUGCGUACACUCUAAGAAUAAUAGGAAAUCAGCAGGGCAGGAAGCUGUCAUCAGUGUAAUAAUGCCAUGGUCUGAAGCAGGUUGUCAAAGCUGGCAGAAAUUUGCCUACUUUGUUCUUAAAGCUCUCCAGAACAUUAGGAACAUUUUCUAUUUUAUUUUCAGUAUGCAAAGGUACAAUCAUUCAUAUACUCUUAAGUCCACCUACCUGCUUGCCUCUUGUGUUCCAGAGCAGAACUUGAAUCAUGUUGUCUGCUUUACAUCCGUGCAUUACUGUUACCACAAGAUCAGAAGAGAUGCAGAAGCCAUCAGAUCAGGCCAAGGGAAAUGUCAAUCUGAGAGAUCCAGUGAGAAGGAAGGAGAAUGGUUAGAAGUCCAGAGAACACUUCAGAAUUGGGGAUACAGUUAUGAACUCUGAGGAGAGACAAGGUAAAACUUUACAGAGAAAAAAAAUAUUUGUUUAAAAUGCCUAAAGAAGUGUUUAAUUUUUAGUUUAGCAUAGUUAUAUUAGUUUGGAUUUGGGAAAGAAGCAGAAGAGUGAGGCACUGAAUCAGUGCUCUUGAAGGUUUGGGGCUCUAGAUUAUUAAGUAGUUUAUUAAGUACAAACUAGAGAUGUAGAUACCUGUCAGAAAUGACAACUGAUGUUAUUUUUAAUUAACUUGUAGUCUCAAUCUCCUGUUAAGGUCUCUCUUUGUUCUGUUUUCUCUGUAUAUCCCUACACACUCAUCUCAGUUCUCUCUCACAUUCAAAAUCAGCCUCAAAACUUGACAUUGCUCUCUAAAAUUCUGAGCAGGGGAAGCACUGGCAGGUGGUUCCAGUUUCUUCUCCCUGGCCACUGACAAUAAUAGAUGAGGGAACAACACAGGGGAGGCUCAGACUGGACAUUAGGAAAAAUUUCUUUGCUGUCAGGGUGGUCAAACAGGAGCAGGCUUCCUGACAAAGAGGCUGAUGCUCCAAGCCUGUCAGGGUGCAAGAGGCAUUUAGAUAAUGCCAUCAGAAAAUGAUAUGAAGGCCCCUUCCAACUGAAACAGACUAUUCUAUUCUAUUCUAAUUUAAUCUGCUCCAAAGUGUCGUUGUCUUCUGUUUUUCCCUAUUGCCUUUACUCUUAGUGAUAAUAUGUAGUGAACACCAUUCACUAUGUUUAUGUUUACUUUCAUCUCUUCCUAACCUCUUUACAUUUAAAGUUCUUGUAAAAAGGAGAUUUCUGAAGUGGCAGCCUGGAUGUUAUGUUUGGUUUUGUGAAUUUUUUUGUUUUUAACAAGUUGCUGUAAGUUAGACACAAACACAGUAUUAAAAAAUAGCAU
rnacentral:lncRNA from 1 species